rnacentral:rRNA from 1 species
GCAUAUCAAUAAGCGGAGGAAAAGAACCAACMGGGAUUGCCCUAGUAACGGCGAGUGAAGCGGCAACAGCUCAAAUUUGAAAUCUGGCUUUCGGGUCCGAGUUGUAAUWUUGUAGAGGAUGCUUUUGGCGCGGUGCCUUCCGAGUUCCCUGGAACGGGACGCCUUAGAGGGUGAGAGCCCCGUACGGUUGGACACCAAGCCUCUGUAAAGCUCCUUCGACGAGUCGAGUAGUUUGGGAAUGCUGCUCUAAAUGGGAGGUAAAUUUCUUCUAAAGCUAAAUAUUGGCCAGAGACCGAUAGCGCACAAGUAGAGUGAUCGAAAGAUGAAAAGCACUUUGAAAAGAGGGUUAAAUAGCACGUGAAAUUGUUGAAAGGGAAGCGUUUGCGACCAGACCUUUUCUUAGCGGAUCAUCCGGUGUUAUCACCGGUGCACUUCGCUAAGUUUAGGCCAGCAUCGGUUUCUGUAGGGGGAUAAAAGCCUUGGGAACGUAGCUCCUUCGGGAGUGUUAUAGCCCUUUGCAUAAUACCCUUCUGGGGACCGAGGACCGCGCUAUAUGCAAGGAUGCUGGCAUAAUGGUCGUCAACGACCCGUCUUGAAACACGGACCAAGGAGUCGAACAUUUAUGCGAGUGUUUGGGUGUUAAACCCUCACGCGUAAUGAAAGUGAACGGAGGUGAGAGCCUUUACGGGUGCAUCAUCGACCGAUCCUGAUGUCUUCGGAUGGAUUUGAGUAAGAGCAUAACUGUUCGGACCCGAAAGAUGGUGAACUAUGCGUGGAUAGGGUGAAGCCAGAGGAAACUCUGGUGGAGGCUCGCAGCGGUUCUGACGUGCAAAUCGAUCGUCAAAAUCUGCGCAUGGGGGCGAAAGACUUAUCGAACCAUCUAGUAGCUGGUUWCCSCCGAAKUU